rnacentral:rRNA from 1 species
ACGCGUCGAAUGUGAACUGCAGGACACAUGAACACCGACACGUUGAACGCAUAUUGCGCAUCGGACGUUUCAACCCGACCGAUGCACACAUCCUUGAGUGCCUACCAAGUUAUCUUCAUACACACAAACCAGACUGACACCCUAUCUUACGAUAGGUUGUGUCGCAUAAUGGCGUGCUCGGACCCGCAUCAGACGGGACCUUGGGCGCUGAAAGUGAGAAAGCUAAUAGAGAAGACAAUGUAUGGUAAGGUACAUGCAGAGAGUGAGAGAUGAACAGACUCGCGACAAGUCGCAACGGUUCGACCUCCAGUAUCAACCCGGGAUGAAACCCCCGCAGCCUAUCAUCAGGCGCUAGCAAAGGGGUCCUAGGUUGGCUCGGGUCGUGUAACACUUGCGGCCCAACGGGUCUGUCUCUAUCGUCUCACAAUACACACGGGAAAUUAGCAUUUCUCUAUGUAGGCCUCAAGUGAUGUGUGACUACCCCCUAAAUUUAAGCAUA